UACGAAGGGGGCUAGCGUUGCUCGGAAUCACUGGGCGUAAAGGGUGCGUAGGCGGGUCUUUAAGUCAGGGGUGAAAUCCUGGAGCUCAACUCCAGAACUGCCUUUGAUACUGGCAACCUAGAGGCUGGAAGAGGUUAGUGGAAUUCCCAGUGUAGAGGUGAAAUUCGUAGAUAUUGGGAAGAACACCAGUGGCGAAGGCAGCCCCCUGGGCCAACACUGACGCUCAGGCACGAAAGCGUGGGGAGCAAACAGG
rnacentral:rRNA from 1 species